CUACUUUGCUGUCUUUUUAAUAUGAACUGGUAACCUGACUCUGGCUAGGCUAAAGAAGAUGAAUUCAGAGGAGAAGGCACUGUGGCAUUCUGUCACUGUUGGCUUUUCGAGGGUUUUAGGGGACCUGAGUGGAUGUAAGCUUGUUGCUGUGGGUUCCAGCUGAGGAUCACGCUGUUGGAAAUGCCCGCAGUGUCUACUGACACAUCACACCCAGGCCAUCCUCGUGG
rnacentral:lncRNA from 1 species